GAUGAACGCUGGCGGCGUGCCUAAUACAUGCAAGUCGAGCGAACAGAUGAGGAGCUUGCUCCUCUGACGUUAGCGGCGGACGGGUGAGUAACACGUGAAUAACCUACCUAUAAGACUGGGAUAACUUCGGGAAACCGGAGCUAAUACCGGAUAAUAUAUUGAACCGCAUGGUUCAAUAGUGAAAGACGGGUUUUCUGUCACUUAUAGAUGGAUCCGCGCCGCAUUAGCUAGUUGGUAAGGUAACGGCUUACCAAGGCAACGAUGCGUAGCCGACCUGAGAGGGUGAUCGGCCACACUGGAGCUGAGACACGGUCCAGACUCCUACGGCAGGCAGCAGUAGGGAACCUGCCGCAAUGGGCGAAAGCCUGACGGAGCAACGCCGCGUGAGUGAUGACGGUCUUCGGAUCGUAAAACUCUGUUAUGAGGGAAGAACAAAUGUGUAAGUAACUAUGCACGUCUUGACGGUACCUACUCAGAAAGCCACGGCUAACUACGUG
rnacentral:rRNA from 1 species